UACUCCUACGGGAGGCAGCAGUGGGGAAUUUUGCGCAAUGGGCGAAAGCCUGACGCAGCAACGCCGCGUGGAGGAUGAAGGUUCUCUGAAUCGUAAACUCCUGUCGGCCGGGAAGAAUAGACGGGGCGCUAAUCAGCCCCGGCUUGACUGUACCGGCAAAGGAAGCCCCGGCUAACUCCGUGCCAGCAGCCGCGGUAAU
rnacentral:rRNA from 1 species